rnacentral:lncRNA from 1 species
GAUCAUCCUCUAAAGAGAUCUCUGAGAAACGAACCAGGAAGAAGAGGGUGAUGAAGAAAUUGGGAUUAGGGUCGUCAAAAAGACGCAAGACGAGUAAAUCUGGAGCUUCAAAGCCAACAUCUGAGGCACAAUCGACUGAUGAGUUGAGCCCUCCAAUCCUUGCUCAGAAUGUCUCUGUCUCAGGCCGUCUUCGAUCCAGGAAAACAUCUGAG